UCGUGCCAUCGCACCAUUGCGUUUUCGACAUCGUACCAUCGUGCAUCGCGGUUAAAUAUAAGAUAAAAAGUCACGAUUGUCCAAACGGAACAUCAUAGUUUCUACUAUCCUAUUUGCUGGAACGGACGCGGGCGGUGUAGAGGGCAGUGCCGAAUAGACUUGACAAGAUAGUCUUAUAAGAUAAACUGUUGGACUGUCUUGAUUUCUGAUGAAGAGAUAAAAGUUGAAACUAGAAAGAAUGUGUUGUCUUGGUAAUGUGUUCACAUUAUUUACAUAAAAACUAUCAUCGUACUGUCGCGCAUCGCCAUAGUACUGUUGCGUUAUCUCCAUCGUACGGUCGCGCUUCAUCAUCGUGCCGUCGUACCUUUGCGUUCACAGGGAGCUGGCGCUGGCCCUAACGGAACACCAUAAAAAACACCUGGGCUUUAGCACGACAUGUCACCUUUACAUCUACGAAAAAAUAUUUGAAUUCAGACAAAAACACAAACCGUCACGGAGUAAGGUUUCGUGGAGAUUUUUUAAACUUCGUCAAAUCGUUCAAAGGUCAUUUUUUAUGCUGUCUGAAAGUGUCAUUAUAUGCCCCGUUUGUAAGGUAUUUCCGUAUUUGAGCUGCAGACCUAGAAAUUUUUGAAAUAUUUUCAAGUACUAAAUACUGAUUCUACAGAAGCGUGAAAGGGUCAUCAGACGCUAAUACGUUUUGCUACGUUACGUUACCAUAGCGGAAAGGAUAUGCACUUUAUUAAUUUAUUUUUCAACAUUUAUCAUAUAUAAAAAAAGUCAAAAGUAUCAUAAAGAAAGAAUGUAUAUAAAUAACAAUAUCGUAGUAAAAAAGUAGUUCUUUUUGCAAAAAUUGUAUAUACACUGGUAUGGUGACUAAGUAUUACUAGUAUGCAUAUUCACAAGUAUAUAUUAUUAUACCUCACAUAAAUGUCCAAUGCAAAUUUCCCAUUAGUUUAACUUGAAUAAUUCUCUGCGCGGAGUAUUUGUGAUGGCUUUAUGUGAGUGUUGUUGGUAGUGUAUGUCGUAAAUGAAGAUUUUUUCCUUUCGAUUUGCAAAAUUUCAAAUUUUUAUUUUAAAUGUCUGCUCUGGCCAAUAAAAAUGGAAUCAGAUUAAACAAUACAAACGAGAAAAAUAUAUUUUAACUAGAAUAAAGAUGCAUGAAGGAAAUCAAAGUGCAGAAAAGAAAGCAAUUUGUUUCGGACAUCACUUUGGAAAUUCCUUUCGUUUUCAGUUGGAUGAAUGCAUCUGAAAGAAGGUUUUUUUUUUCUUGUUUAAUAACUUUAUUUUCUAUUUUAUUUUAAAUAUUAAUUUAUUAUAUUGUUAACAUGUUUUUUUGUUUUGUUUGUUUUGCCACAUUUAUUAUCUAUGAUAGGGAGUAUAGACCUUUUAUUCCAACGAAAUUCCGGAUACUGCUUUUUAAAGUUAAUUUAUGCUAAUUUUUAAAGCUUUUUAUUGUGUUAACCUUAUGGGGACUUUAUAUAAGAAAAUUAUAUACCAGUACUGAAGUGCAUUUUUAAUAUAUAUCCUUAGAAGUUUUUUUAACUUCUAUUAUCACUAAUUGCGACAACGUUUCGGCCCAGGGCCAAGGGCCUUUAUCAAGUCACAUGCACAACUCUUAGAUUACAUAUUUUGCAAUUAUUCUGGCUAACAAAUGCAUGAUAAAUAAUGUUAUAUGGAAUCACGGAAGUGACGUUUACGUAAACAAUACAAUCGACGUAGACCCGCCAAAUUUGGGUUACAUACUUUAUACUUGAAAAAACAUCCGCUACUUAAAGAAAGUUAUAGGUUUCCACGAGAAAAUUCUUAUUAAAAUAAUCAAGGGAGGUAAUUAAUCAAUGAUGUAUCUUAAUUAUUUAUUUGAAAAACUGUAUUAUUUUCUAUUAACUCUAUUGUUUAUGUACGUCUUGGAUUUUCGUUAAAUAUAAUUAUUAAAAUAAGAAAAUGAAAAUUAAGAGAAACAAAUAAGAUAAAUGAGACUUGUGUUUUUGUAUUGAUAAACCGGUAUAAAAACUACUAACCGUACAACGGAAAGUUGCUACACAACAUUGACCGUUUGUUUUGCCAAAUACACUAGUUGAUCAGUAUAUGACUGUAUAAAGUGGUAAAGGUGUUUAUAGUAGCGGAAUGUUUAGUCAAAAUUCAUUGCUGCGUACUCAGAAGCUGUUCUGCUAUGGAGGAGGUGAAGAAAACAACAACAAUACCAUGUAAGGAAAUACACCAACGUAAUCGUCAACAUAAAACACUUGGGUAUAUUUUUUUUUGUUAAAAGUGUGAGUUUCACGCCCCUAGGCGGGAUAAAAUGAUGUUUUGUUGUGUUUCAUUCAUUGUACAUUUUAGUCCUUCCUCAUGCAACUGCAACUGUCGUACUUGCAUAUCAUAUUCCCCAGUAAUUUAUAACUCAUGCGCAAAAUCGUUAUUUACAAUUUCUGCGCAGGUGAUAUGGUCCAUAAUUUCAUAUCACAUGCGCAACAGCAUUAUUUCAUUUUUCAGCGCACGUGAUAUUAUUUGUUCAUAUAUCCCGACGAGAGAUUUAUACUUUCGUAUUGAUUAAAAGACUGAGUCGAUAAAUUUUCAGACGAGGCGCUUAUACGAGGGAUGUUCAAAAAAAUACGUACUUUUGCUGUCAAACUCCUCGUAUUAUCUAUAAAACAAUGAAAAAUAUGCCAUUGUAAUUCGGAAUCUUCAUGUUUUCUGGUCAUAGCUUUUUCCUAACAUUUUCGUUGACAGAUGAAGCGUGUAGAACGUUUUAAUUACUAUGGUUACGCAUAACCGGCGCAGUAGCUUUUGAUCAGUCUUACUUGAAUUACAGUGCUUAUAUUUUCAUUGUUAUACCACUCAUAUACCCGAAACUCCGCCAAAUUACAGCAUGACGUCAAGGCAACGUGCACCGUAAUUAUGAUGUCAUUUGGACCUUGACGACGGAAGUAAACAACGUUAUAGCUAGAUGAGUAAGCUAUAGAAAGCAAACGUCAUGGCGUCAUCAGAUCGUCUAGAAAAUCGAGCAGUUAUAAAGUUCUGCAGAGACUUGGGCAAAACACCGACUGAAGCAUAUAAAUUGAUUAAGCAGACGCCGCGGAAGAGUUCUGUCAGCCGUGCUUUAGUUUUUAAGUGGUACAAAAGAUUUGCAGAUGGCCAAGAAUCACUCAAAGACAGGAACGGCCAGGGAAGAACAAAAAAUCAGUAACUCGACGCUGACGUCUAUCCGUGACGCCUUAGACAAGGACAGACGACUAUCAGUGCGCAGCCUAUCUGAGAUGUUUGAUUUAAGUGUUGGGGCUGUUUACAGUAUUUUAACUGAACAGCUGAAGAUGUCUAAGGUGCACGCUAGGUGGGUUCCACGUCUUCUCAAAGACUUCGAGAGAGAGCGUAGAGUAAAGGAUUCUAAGGCGUUUCUCCGGCGCUACCAGAAGGACGGAGAUGAUUUCCUUGAUAAGAUUAUUACAACUGACGAGACAUGGCUGUGGUUUUACGACCCAGAGACAAAAUGUCAGUCAGCUGUUUGGAAGCAGGCUGUUCACCUCCACCUGAAAAGGCACGGGUGUGCAAGUCCGGUGCAAAACAUAUGUUUGUUAUGUUCUGCGACAGAAAGGGGAUGAUUUUGAACCAUGGUGUACCCAAAGAUACUACAGUCAACGCAGAAUAUUAAUCCAUGGUCUUGCGCCGUGACUUAGUUCACGCGCUCCGUAAGAAACGACCCGGUGUGCCGCUGGAUUACUAUCUUUUGCAUCAGGACAACGCUUCGCCCCAUACAGCAGCAACUACUACACUGGAGAUAAGCGUUCUUGGUUUCGGUACGGUUAGCCAUCCGCCAUAUUUCCCCGAAUCUUGCACUCUUUGAUUUCGCCAUAUUCCCAACAAUCAAGGCGCAGCUUAAAGGUCAGAAAUUUAGGUCUCUGCUCGAGCUACGGACUGAAACAAUGCACAUUAUUGGUCAGUAUCACCAGCAAUGGUAUAACGAUGUCUUCCAGCAAUGGGUACAUCCACAUCAGAAAUGUAUUCAGCACAACGGCGAAGAGGUGCUAUUUCUCAGAAUCUUAUCGUAUUCACGUCAAAUUUUAUGUGUAAGUAGUACAGUGAGUGAGAAUAAAGAUAAUAUAAUUUUUUUCGAGUCCAUUAAAAUAUGUUGUCGUUAUAGAGUAAGUCUGCGUAAUUUCUGAACAUCCCUCGUAUAAUUAUACUUUAGGAUUAAAUUACCAUUUUCAGAUGCUCCUGUAUGUGCGAACCCGGCUGAAAUUUCUUUUGUUUUUUAGGAUUUCCUGUACCUGCCAAAUAGUUCAAAAACAACGUUUAAUCCAAAAUUGAAUCGAAACUACCACCAUGAUAUUGGAAAUGGUCUAACUAAGAAAAUGAGUGCUCACACUUAUAUGUUUCAUUUAGAAAAAACAAAGUUAUCACCGUUUUACGAAUGUUACUGAUUGACGCAAUGUUGAAAUAUUUGAAUAAAUAUAGGAGUCAGCGAUAUGUAAACGUCUCGCCUAAAUCUAUCGAAAAAAAAAGU
rnacentral:lncRNA from 1 species